rnacentral:rRNA from 1 species
AUUGAACGCUGGCGGCAGGCUUAACACAUGCAAGUCGAGCGGGGUGAUGGUGCUUGCACUAUCACUUAGCGGCGGACGGGUGAGUAAUGCUUAGGAAUCUGCCUAUUAGUGGGGGACAACAUCUCGAAAGGGAUGCUAAUACCGCAUACGUCCUACGGGAGAAAGAAGGGGAUCACUUGUGACCUUGCGCUAAUAGAUGAGCAUAAGUCGGAUUAGCUAGUUGGUGGGGUAAAGGCCUACCAAGGCGACGGUCUGUAGCGGGUCUGAGAGGAUGAUCCGCCACGCUGGGACUGAGACACGGCCCAGACUCCUACGGGAGGCAGCAGUGGGGAAUAUUGGACAAUGGGGGGAACCCUGAUCCAGCCAUGCCGCGUGUGUGAAGAAGGCCUUAUGGUUGUAAAGCACUUUAAGCGAGGAGGAGGCUCUUUUGGUUAAUACCCAAGAUGAGUGGACGUUACUCGCAGAAUAAGCACCGGCUAACUCUGUGCCAGCCGCCGCGGUAA